GGGCUGGGGCUCAGCGGUAGAGUAUUCACCUAGUAUGUGCGAGGCCCUGGGUUCAAUCCUCAGCACCACA
rnacentral:tRNA from 1 species